rnacentral:rRNA from 1 species
UACAGAGGACCCAAGCGUUAAUCGGAAUCACUGGGCUUAAAGCGUGCGUAGGCGGAUCUGUAAGUGUCUUGUGAAAUCCCAUGGCUCAACCAUGGAACCGCUCGGCAGACUGCAGGUCUUGAGGUCGGUAGGGGUCGUCGGAACUCUAGGUGGAGCGGUGAAAUGCGUAGAUAUCUAGAGGAACGCCAAAGGUGAAGACAGACGACUGGGCCGAUUCUGACGCUGAGGCACGAAAGCGUGGGGAGCAAACGGG